rnacentral:rRNA from 1 species
GACGAACGCUGGCGGCGUGCUUAACACAUGCAAGUCGAACGGAAAGGCCCUGCUUUUGUGGGGUGCUCGAGUGGCGAACGGGUGAGUAACACGUGAGUAACCUGCCCUUGACUUUGGGAUAACUUCAGGAAACUGGGGCUAAUACCGGAUAGGAGCUCCUGCUGCAUGGUGGGGGUUGGAAAGUUUCGGCGGUUGGGGAUGGACUCGCGGCUUAUCAGCUUGUUGGUGGGGUAGUGGCUUACCAAGGCUUUGACGGGUAGCCGGCCUGAGAGGGUGACCGGCCACAUUGGGACUGAGAUACGGCCCAGACUCCUACGGGAGGCAGCAGUGGGGAAUAUUGCACAAUGGGCGGAAGCCUGAUGCAGCAACGCCGCGUGCGGGAUGACGGCCUUCGGGUUGUAAACCGCUUUCGCCUGUGACGAAGCGUGAGUGACGGUAAUGGGUAAAGAAGCACCGGCUAACUACGUGCCAGCAGCCGCGGUGAUACGUAGGGUGCGAGCGUUGUCCGGAUUUAUUGGGCGUAAAGGGCUCGUAGGUGGUUGAUCGCGUCGGAAGUGUAAUCUUGGGGCUUAACCCUGAGCGUGCUUUCGAUACGGGUUGACUUGAGGAAGGUAGGGGAGAAUGGAAUUCCUGGUGGAGCGGUGGAAUGCGCAGAUAUCAGGAGGAACACCAGUGGCGAAGGCGGUUCUCUGGGCCUUCCCUGACGCUGAGGAGCGAAAGCGUGGGGAGCGAACAGGCUUAGAUACCCUGGUAGUCCACGCUGUAAACGGUGGGUACUAGGUGUGGGGUCCAUUCCACGGGUUCCGUGCCGUAGCUAACGCUUUGAGUACCCCGCCUGGGGAGUACGGCCGCAAGGCUAAAACUCAAAGGAAUUGACGGGGCCCCGCACAAGCGGCGGAGCAUGCGGAUUAAUUCGAUGCAACGCGUAGAACCUUACCUGGGUUUGACAUGGAUCGGGAGUGCUCAGAGAUGGGUGUGCCUCUUUUGGGGUCGGUUCACAGGUGGUGCAUGGCUGUCGUCAGCUCGUGUCGUGAGAUGUUGGGUUAAGUCCCGCAACGAGCGCAACCCUUGUUCACUGUUGCCAGCACGUUAUGGUGGGGACUCAGUGGAGACCGCCGGGGUCAACUCGGAGGAAGGUGGGGAUGACGUCAAGUCAUCAUGCCCCUUAUGUCCAGGGCUUCACGCAUGCUACAAUGGCUGGUACAGAGAGUGGCGAGCCUGUGAGGGUGAGCGAAUCUCGGAAAGCCGGUCUCAGUUCGGAUUGGGGUCUGCAACUCGACCUCAUGAAGUCGGAGUCGCUAGUAAUCGCAGAUCAGCAACGCUGCGGUGAAUACGUUCCCGGG